GACGAACGCUGGCGGCGUGCCUAAUACAUGCAAGUAGAACGCUGAAGGAGGAGCUUGCUCUUCUGGAUGAGUUGCGAACGGGUGAGUAACGCGUAGGUAACCUGCCUGGUAGCGGGGGAUAACUAUUGGAAACGAUAGCUAAUACCGCAUAAUAGUAGAUGUUGCAUGAUAUUUACUUAAAAGGUGCAAUUGCACCACUACCAGAUGGACCUGCGUUGUAUUAGCUAGUUGGUGGGGUAACGGCUCACCAAGGCGACGAUACAUAGCCGACCUGAGAGGGGGAUCGGCCACACUGGGACUGGGACACGGCCCAGACUCCUACGGGAGGCAGCAGUAGGGAAUCUUCGGCAAUGGACGAAAGGCUGACCGAGCAACGCCGCGUGAGUGAAGAAGGGUUUCGGAUCGUAAAGCUCUGUUGUAAGAGAAGAACGAGUGUGAGAGUGGAAAGUUCACACUGUGACGGUAGCUUACCAGAAAGGGACGGCUAACUACGUG
rnacentral:rRNA from 1 species